CCCUUAGAUGCUCUGGGCCGCACGCGCGCUACACUGGUCGAUGCAACGAGUUUCUUUCCUUGGCCGACAGGCCUGGGCAAUCUUUGAACAUCGAUCGUGAUCGGGAUAGAUUCUUGUAAUUUUUGAUCUUAAACGAGGAAUUCCUAGUAAACGCAAGUCAUCAGCUUGCAUUGAUUACGUCCCUGCCCUUUGUACACACCGCCCGUCGCACCUACUGAUUGAAUGGUCCGGUGAAAUCUCCGGACUGGCGUGAGUCGGAGCAAUCUGACAAACACCGGAAAGUUGAUUAAACCUUACCAUUUAGAGGAAGGUGAAGUCGUAACA
rnacentral:rRNA from 1 species